ACGCUUAGCUAAUGUUCCCGGGGAGGGGGGGGAGCCCUCUAACCGGUUGCCGGUUGGUCAAAAUGCUUGCGGGUAAGGGUAACUUGUCUUUAUUUCGAAACGUGGUAUGACGUGAGGUUCAUCCUCAGAUUGCCCUGAAACUGUAAACCUACGUCUUUCAUCUACGCAUCCAAUAUCAGAAUCGAGAAGCCAAGAAGAAAUAAGGGGAAACAAAUCAAUUCCAUGGAGAAUAUAAGAGAGUCCCAUGUGCAGCAUAGGAAGUGUCGGCGAAUUAUACUCUUCCCACUGCCUUUGGAAGGGCAUAUCAAUCCUAUGAUUCAGCUUGCUAACAUCCUUUAUUCUAAAGGAUUUUCGAUAACAAUCAUCCACACUCAAUUCAAUCCUCCCAAUCCUGCGAAGUGUCCUCACUUCACUAUCCAUGCAAUUCCUGAUGGCUUGUUGGAAGAUGAGGCUUCAACUGCAGAUGGUGUAAUCCGUUUCUCAGUCCUCAUUUCAAAUUGUGUUGAGCCCUUUCGAGAUUGCCUGGCUAAGCUGUUAUUGGAUGCCGUGGAUCAAGAGCCCGUUGCUUGCUUGAUCACAGAUGCUGUUUGGCACUUCACUCACUCUGUAGCCGAGGGCUUUAAGAUUCCAACUAUUGCCAUGCGGACAACUAGUAUCAGUUCUUUUCUUGCUUUUGCCUCCUUCCCCCUUCUGCGAGAAAGGGGUUACUUCCCAAUUCAAGAUUCUCGAUUAGAAGAAUCAGUGCAAGAGCUUCCACCGUUGAAAGUCAAAGAUCUUCCUGUGAUCAAAACACGAUGUCCAGCGACUCUUCAUCAACUGUAUGAAAAGAUAAGUAAUCAAGCAAAAGCCUGUUCAGGCCUAAUUUGGAACUCGUUUGAAGAAAUUGAGCGUGAUGCUCUGAGCAAAUUAAGCCAGGUCUUUACUGUGCCAAUAUUUCACAUAGGUCCAUUUCACAAGUACUUUCCAGCCUCUUCAAGUAGCUUAAUAACACCAGACCAAAGCUGCAUUUCCUGGCUUGAUACCCAGACUCCUAAUUCUGUACUCUAUGUCAGCUUCGGGAGCCUUGCUGCGGUAAAUGAGACUGAAUUUCUGGAGAUGGCCUGGGGGCUACUCCAUAGCAAUCAACCCUUCUUGUGGGUGGUUCGACCUGGAUUAGUUCGGGGAUCGGAAUCGUCCGAAUCAUUGCCGGAUGGAUUCCUUGAGAUGGUGGGUAAAAGGGGCUAUAUCGUGAAAUGGGCUCCUCAACAACAGGUGCUAGCACACCCUGCCACUGGAGGGUUUUGGACACACAAUGGUUGGAAUUCCACAUUGGAAAGUAUAUGUGAAGGGGUUCCCAUGAUUUGUCAGCCUUUUUCUGGUGAUCAAAGAGUAAAUGCUAGGUAUGUGAGUGAUGUUUGGAAAAUUGGGAUACACUUGGAGUAUAAUAAACUCGAGAGAAGGGAGAUAGAGAGGGCAAUUAAAGGACUAAUGGUAGAGACAAAAGGGCAGGGGAUGAGACAGAGAACUGUGUCUUUGAAAGAGAAGGCGAACCUUUGUGUAAGCCAUGGAGGCUCUUCUUACCAUUCCCUUGAGACCUUGACUAAUUACAUCAUGUCAUUCUAGGCUUCUCUCGGUGUUCGAUGCCAACUGGCACUUCACUGAAGCUGUUGCUGAUGGCAUUAAACUUCAAAGGAUUGUGCUACGAACCAGUGACAUUUUACUUGUUUUUGCUGCUUUGCCACUUCUGCGAGAAAGGGGUUCUUUUAGUAUCAAGUUACCUAAAGCAACAGGUACCUCAACCAGCUAUCAGCCAUCAGUGUCUGAAUUUCUAAGUCGUAAACCCUAAGAUCCUGCUGCAGAUACAAGGGAAAAAGUUGCUAUGAGAAGCAAAGUUUAGAUGAAAUGCUACUCGUAUUUGAAUUGCAGCAGGCAGGGUUAUAAGCUGAUUCUUCAACUAGAAGAACCAAUUACAGAGAUUCCCCGCUUAAAGCUAAAGAUCUUCCAGAAAUUGAAACACAGGACGCAGAAGAAUAUCACUGUCUGGUAGCCGGAUUGAUAAACGAAAGCAAGGCUUCACCAGGACUCAUCGGGAACUCUUUCGAGGAGCUCGAGCAAGAUGCUCUUGCCAUAUCAUGCCAGGACUUUCCUAUCCCUAUUUACACAAAGGUCCAUUUCACAAGUACUUGCCAGCCUCCAAAAAUUAAAUCAAUAAUUUAACCUCUUGAAGGAUUGGGUCAAUUUUGAUUGUCCCUCUAGAGUUUCAAAUUUAAACUUGACAAUCAAAUUUAUCAAUUUUGAUUGUCAAGUUUAAAAAAUGAUUACCUUCUCAGAAAGGGAAAAAAAAAUUCCAAUGUGAAGUGCUUUUCUUGGCCGAGCUGUGGACGAGAGAAAAAUGACCGAUUACAUGAACAUCAAGAGUAAUUCAAUUAAUCCUUCCUAAUCCCGCAAGUGUUAAUGGUUAAUUAGCUCUUGUAGUUCAACAGACCUUUCAGUUACUAUGGACAAAGAAGCAUUUCAUUUAGCUUUCUUCCAGAAUCCAUUUACUCGGAAAUAUCAAAUUGAUAUAUCUCUCGAGCAUUGAGGGGCUCACUGAGAAAAUAUAAGGUUUUGUAAAUUUUAAUCU